rnacentral:rRNA from 1 species
CCCGCACAAGCGGUGAGCAUGUGGUUUAAUUCGACGUAACGCGAAGAACCUUACCAGGGCUUGACAUCUUCUGACUGCUUAAGGAACUUAAGCCUUCCGGGGAGUUUACUUUCCGGACAGAAAGACAGGUGGUGCAUGGUUGUCGUCAGCUCGUGUCGUGAGAUGUUGGGUUAAGUCCCGCAACGAGCGCAACCCCUACGGUUAGUUGCUAACGGGUAAGGCCGAGCACUUUAGCCGAACUGCCGUUGACAAAACGGAGGAAGCGGGAUGACGUCAAAUCAUCAUGCCCUUUAUGUCCUGGGCUACACACGUGCUACAAUGGCCUGUACAAAGGGCAGCAAAGGGGCAACCCGGAGCAAAUCCCAAAAAACAGGUCUCAGUUCGGAUUGCAGGCUGCAACUCGCCUGCAUGAAGUCGGAAUCGCUAGUAAUCGCAGGUCAGCAUGCCGCGGUGAAUACGUUCCCGGGCCUU